UCCAGUGGUUGGGGGAAAAAGGUUUCGUGCGGCAGGUUGAGGUUUCGAACCUUGCCUUCCCUGUUAUUUUAUUUAUGUCGCUUAUGACAUAAUAAAUAUAACACGUGAGCAUAUAUUAAUGAAGGCAGCUCUUGCUUCAGUGGUUGGGAGCAAAACCUUCGUGUUCGAGGUCGGGAGUUCGAACCUUACCUCUUACAAAUAUUUUUGGAUCUCGUAUAUGCUUGAUAUACGGACGUAUAUACGGUAUGUACGGUAUACAUACAUAUAUAUGGUCUGUACGGUAUGCAUACGUAUAUACAGUUGUACGAUAUGCAUACGUAUAUACGGUCUGUACGGUAUGCAUACAUAUAUACGGUAUACCUACGGUAUGUACAAUUUCAUACCGUAGCCGAGCUGGAAGUCGGUGGGCCGAUUGGUAGGCCCAAAUGUUAAGCCCAAUUGUUCGGCCCGAAUGGUAGGCCCAAAUGUUAAACCCAAAUUGGUUCGGGCCGGUUCGAAAUGUGAAUGGUUCGGUUUCUUCGGCCCAAUUGGCCAGCCCUAAUGCUUAGCCCAAGGAUUGAGCAAGCCCAAGUCAUCAUCACUGGGUGACAUGUUUUAUUGGCGUGCUUUUGAGAAUGAUUUGUUUUGAGUGAUGCAUCUCUAUUGUUGUGUAGAAUAGUGCAUGCUUAAGUUUUACUAUAGAGAUUUACCGUGAUGCUAAUGGAGUAGCGAAACGCUUUGUGGGAGUCUUUACUGUGCUUGUAUGCCAGUACAGGGUGAUGAUCUAUGUGAGGAUCUAUGAGAUAAUCUCUGUGAAGAUCUAAGUGAUGAUCUCUGUGAUGAUCCACGUGAUGAUUUUGUGUAAUUGAUGUGGAGUGAUGUUGAGCAGUUGUUUUGUGAAUUUACAUCGUGACGAAAGGAUUUAGUGGCCAUAGGAAUGUAUUUUUAUACAAAGGGCUGUGGCUUUGUAGAUUACUACAACUUUGGGAAUGAUGGAGAUUCGAUGGUUAGGUCAACCUUAAUCAAGAGGAAUUGACUUACGCUUAAAUUUCGGGACGAAAUUUCUUUAAGGAGGGUGGAUUGUAAUACCCCGAAAAAUCUAAAUUAUUUUUCCGAGGACAUUUUAGAAAUGAUUUCGUGGUCAUGGGAGAAAGUAUGAAGCUUGGAGGAGUGGUGAAAUUGGUUCGAACAAUUUUUAUUCGAAAACUGAACGUUUUAGGGGAGGUCAAAGGAGUUGACUUUUUAUACGUUCAUAAUUGGGGAAAACUUCCUUCAUGAAAGUUGUAGAGCUCGUCGAUACGAUCUCGUGCAUAUGUGGUAUGCAAAAAUCAGAGUUCGUAUGAAUUAGUUAUGAUUUUUUUGAAAAAGUUUCCAGUUUAGUAUAAAGCUGCCAUUUUUGGAAAUUACCAAAAAUAAUUUCAGUUCCAUUUCUGGAAACCGAACUCUCUCUCUCUUGCGCGCGUCCGAGCCCAGAAAAAACAGAGCAAAGCUCUCCGGCCGAGUUCUCCCUCCUCCGGCCACCAAUCGACACCAGACCACCUCCCUUGCCUUCGCCUCGACGCCGCCUACCUGCUAGACGUGAUCACUUCCACCGGAACGGCCUCAAAUCCGGCAGUCGGAGCCGCAAACUUUGAAACAAAAAUCGGUCAACGCCGGUUUUCUCCUAGCUCCGGCCACCAAAACUCACGAUCCUUAGCUCCCUAAACUCGCCUCAACCUUCUGAUCAUCAUUCUAGAAGGAUCGCACCUGGAGUGAUCGGAUUCACGUUCGUCGGAGCUCGCCGGAUUCUGGAAAUUUUCCACCACCACCGAAGCUUUUGAUAGAAGGAAUCGAAGCCUGAAAUUGAAGUUUUGACGUCGAAAUCAAGCCUUGCCGGAUUCUGCAAAAUUCUGGAAUUUUUCCGACCACCGAAGCUUUCGAUCGGUAUAUCUCGAGCUACAGACCAUAUUUUUCUGUGAUUCUUGAACCAGUGAGUUCUUCUUGAGUUUCUUAACAACUCUUCAGAAGGAAUCGAAGCCUUAAAUUGACGUUUUUACGUCGAAUUGGAGCUCGCCGUUUUCUGCAGUUUCUCGCCGGUUUCUGGAAAAUUCCGGCCACCUUCAUACUGUUCAAGGUGAUCGACGGUUUGAUUUGGCGGACGAUUCUUGAAAUUGUAUUUUGAGCUGUUAAGAAGACGCAGCGGGAAUUUAGAGGUGAGUAAACCUCACGUGGUUCAUAUUACGAACCGAAUAAAUUUAAUUACCUUAUUUUGUCGUAAUUGCGUGAAAAUAUUUAUGGAAUAAAUAUUUGUUUUAAAAUCAUAUGGACUUGAUCAACUACGGUCCAUGGGUAAGUAAAAUGAUUUUUUACUAUACAAAUGAAUUUCUCGGUUUUAUUGCAUGUGAACUAUAGUUGGUAUUAGUGAUUAUCCCUGAGCGGAUAAUUACGUAUAUAUAUAUUUACGUGAUUAUAUAUGAAUGGUGUGACAUUGAAGAGUGUGGAAUUGGGAUGAUUAAAUUAUUAUGAAUUGACAUGUGACUUACCAUAUUUAUAUGUGAUGAACAUGAUUGAUGAGUUCUUGUUAAUAUUCAUGAUUUACAUUGGAGGAUGUAUAGAGUUAGAGAAUGUAGGGUUCUGAGGAUGAGGUGUCCGAAGUUCGACGGUUAAGGAUAACCGGAGUGUUUGUGUGCUGAGGACGGGGAUGUCCAAGGUGCGACGGUUUAUUAUUAACCGAAGUUGUGUGCUGAGGACGGGGAUGUCCAAAGCGCGACUGUUUAUUAUUAACCGAAGUAUAUGGUGCUGAGGACGGGGAUGUCCAAAGCGCGACGGUUAUAGUGUUAACCGAAGUAUUUUUGCCGUUGCUUGACCCUAGGCCAAGGUGUCAGAGGUAACGAGGCAGUUAGAGCUCUAACGUGUUAUGGGAUGGGACCAAAGUGGUGAUAGUGUUGUGUGAUAGGACCAAAGUGGUGAUAUUGAAUUGGUUGACGUUUGCGUCGUGGAUGUUGAGAUUGUUGGUUGUGUUGUUGAGUUAUAAGAAUUGUAAUUUAAAAUCAACAGUUCUUUCUUGUUUACUCAUACUGGCUGUAAAAAGCUUACCGGGUUUUGUGUUGUUGCAACUCCCGGUACACUAUUCAAAUUGUGUAG